AUGCACGCUGGCGGCGUGCCUCAUCCAUGCAAGUCGAGCGAACAGAUGAGGAGCUUGCUCCUCUGACGUUAGCGGCGGACGGGUGAGUAACACGUGGAUAACCUACCUAUAAGACUGGGAUAACUUCGGGAAACCGGAGCUAAUACCGGAUAAUAUAUUGAACCGCAUGGUUCAAUAGUGAAAGACGGUUUUGCUGUCACUUAUAGAUGGAUCCGCGCCGCAUUAGCUAGUUGGUAAGGUAACGGCUUACCAAGGCAACGAUGCGUAGCCGACCUGAGAGGGGGAUCGGCCACACUGGAACUGAGACACGGUCCAGACUCCUACGGGAGGCAGCAGUAGGGAAUCUUCCGCAAUGGGCGAAAGCCUGACGGAGCAACGCCGCGUGAGUGAUGAAGGUCUUCGGAUCGUAAAACUCUGUUAUUAGGGAAGAACAAAUGUGUAAGUAACUAUGCACGUCUUGACGGUACCUAAUCAGAAAGCCACGGCUAACUACGUG
rnacentral:rRNA from 1 species